rnacentral:misc_RNA from 1 species
UACGGAGGGUGCAAGCGUUAAUCGGAAUUACUGGGCGUAAAGCGCAAGCAGGCGGUCUGGCAAGUCGGACGUGAAAUCCCCGGGCUCAACCUGGGAACUGCAACCGAAACUGGCAGGCUAGAGGCUUGUAGAGGGGGGUGGAAUUCCCGGUGUAGCGGUGAAAUGCGUAGAGAUCUGGAGGAAUACCGGUGGCGAAGGCGGCCCCCUGGACAAAGACUGACGCUCAGGUGCGAAAGCGUGGGGAGUAAACAGG